rnacentral:rRNA from 1 species
AUUUGAGAGGAUCUGCUCCUAGUA